rnacentral:lncRNA from 1 species
CCUCCCUAUUUCAACAUCCAUCGUUUUGCAUCCCUUGCUUCCGAUAAUUGUUCUCCGAUGAUAUUCCAAUGACGACCUCCAUCCCACUCUCUGUUUCGGUCGAGUAGUGUCUCCUCCCUUGUGCAUGAGCAUGAUAGCCUCUUGAAUACCUUAUUUCCAUCCGUUGGUGAGCCCUACGUCUUCUUUUAUUGAUAAUAUAUCUUUUAACAAUUUAUUUUCCAUAUAAAAUCAUGAUUAUGAUGAUUAUUC